rnacentral:misc_RNA from 1 species
GCGGAAGGCGAGGGCAGCAGCGGGGCGUUCGACAGGGGAAUGUCGGAGAUCGCGAGGAAGGUGCCUCUCUUCGAGCCGGCGAGGGGCGACGCCGCGGCGGUCGCCGGCGAGCGGCCGCUGCCCAUCAACCUCGAGCUCUGGCUCUACCGCGCAAAGGUGCACACGCGGAAGUACGAGUUCGCCGACGCGGAGAAGCUCCUAAACCAGUGCAUCAUGUAUUGGCCGGAAG